GGGUAUAUAAAAAAGGUAAGUGACGUCAUAGUCGGCAAAUGUUUCGAUAAAAUAAAGUUUUGUCUAUUCAGUCGUGAAUAGUCUAUUCAAAGCUAGCGGAACACAUUUCUGUCUCUCUCUCGUGCGCAACAAAAACACUUAAAUUAUUCAGGUACAUUAAAAUGGACAAAAAGGAAGCUGAGCGAAUUUACACACUCACAAAGAAUCCUCACAAAUUGCUAAAAGAUAAAAUAGCGACUGACCAGAUUCGCAAAUUCAAAGAGAGCCAUGUUUUGGGUGACAGUAAGCUCUUAAACAACACCGAAAUUUAUGAGAAAUGUGAAACCCUGCUACAAGAAACGAAUGUACCUCUAACAAGGGACGCAUUCCGGGAUUUGUUACAAUUGGGAAUUGGACAGAAGGAGAGAAAAGCGCUUCAGCAGUCUGUGGAUGGCGAACGGACCAAAAGUAAUCUCAUCAUUCAGGAAAUCCAAGAAAGCUGUGUUAAUAAGAUUGUCAUCCUGACGGAAUUUAAUGAAUUUACUGAUUAUAUGCUUUCAAAAUCCAAAUAACAUACAUAUGUAAUUGUAAAAUUGUUAAAUAUUAAUCAGCAAAAAGCUAAAUUAAAUAUAAAAGUUAUAGAAUCUACGUACUGUGCAGCAUAUUGUCAUUGCAUGGAACAGGGCUGCCAAAAUCAUCGUUGAUAAAACUUAUAAGGUAAAAUUGAUUAAGGCGAAUU